rnacentral:rRNA from 1 species
UGGGCUUGACAUGCAGGGAAAAGCUGCAGAGAUGCAGUGUCCUUCGGGGCCCUACAC